UCCGAAUUGGUGUAGUGGCUAACAUUUGACGCUCUCAAAAGAUUGCACGUUGAAAAAUGUGUGAUGUAGAACAGUACCGUCAAGCCCGGGGUUCGAUUCCCCGAUUCGGAG